CACACACGCACACCAACUAAGGGAAUGGCGCGAUCAAAACAAAACGCACAAAAUCAAACUAACUGUAACGGUUAAAUGGCGUUAAAGUGCGCGCGCGCGUUUAUUUUGCGUUUGCCCACAUCGACUGCACAUGAUCGAGUGCCCGCUUUUGGGGCGGCAGCUCGGUCGCCGUCGCAGUCGCAGUCGCAGUCGCAAUCGCCUCCGUCUCCGUCAAUUGAUAUUCGUUGCUGGGCUGUUGACAAUUUCGCUCUACAAGCACACACACUUACACAUACACACACGCUGACACCAACUAACAUAUGACACUCUCUUACUCUUCGCGUGCUCGCUCACACUUUCGGUUCGCUCUCAUUGAAAGCAUGCUCUCUCGCAAUUGCUGUUGUUGUUGUUUUUGUUAGAGUGCUUCAUAUUUAUCAGUUGGUAGACCAGAGGGCGGCAGAGGAAGACAUAUAUAGCCGAUACGCAUGACGCGACAUAAUUGACAUUUCCAGCAAUUCCAUCAACAAAUGUACAUAUG